UUUGUCAAAAUAUUUUCAAUUGUGAGAUUGUCUAAUUUAGGGGGAGUUUGAAAUCUUUAAAAAAAAAUACUCCUAUGUUUAAAAGAUGUGGAAAGAGUUACAUCCAAAAGGAGUGUGAAAACUACCACCACAUGUAGGAAAGAGCUACUACCCCGGUCGUCCGGCAAAUGUGUGAAGCUACCACAUGAAGAUUAAAUUGAGUAAUCGAAAAAGGUUGAAAAAAAAAAUUUGAAUAUUUUAAAAUUUUCGGAGUUAUAAGGUGGUAAGUUGAAAAGAUGCUCAAAGAGCCACCUCCGGUGCCAUAUUAGUUAAAUCUCUAUUUUGAACAUAUUGC
rnacentral:lncRNA from 1 species